ensembl:snRNA U6 U6 spliceosomal RNA
GUGCUCACUUCAGCAGCACAUUUACCCAAAUUGGAAUUAUACAGAGAAGAUUAGCAUGGCCCCUGCACAACAAGAAUGACAUGCAAAUUCUUGAAGCAUUCCAUAUUUUU